rnacentral:lncRNA from 1 species
GGGCCUUGAGUUCCAUACAUAAUCACUAUUAAACUAAUGAAGGCUAUCUUCAAUGGGAGCUCAUUGGUUUUCUAACACAUUUAACAUGAUAAGCAGACAAUAUUUAACAUUACAUGUAUAGAUGUAUUUAUUGAAUACUGUCAAUUUACAUCCCCCUUGCGCAUCUAAUGUCUAACUUAACUAUUGCAGUUGAUGAUUUGGACUUGAAUAAUGUGUAGACAUAGGGGGUAUUUCUUACCUUGCAAUUGAGAAACAUUUAUGUUGUCCUACCAUAGGUUGGCAAAUUCAGUUUGUCGCCCAAUAAUUAACUAGGAAAUGCAUGUGAAGAUAACUUUGUCAGUAUUAUUGGCUUCGGUAAUUCACUGCAUUCUUUAUUUCAUAUUAAAAUUGUGCUUGCAGACUUUACCUUACGGUGCUGCCACACUCAGCAACAUAAUAGACAGGAGACAAUUGCAGCCUGAGAGGUGUUGCCUUUGCAACAUGCUGUCAUCAUCUUUGCCAAUGGAAAUCUUACAUGAGUAAUCCCCUAUUCUUCAGUAUACAAAUACCUUUGAUCCUUUACAAUCUGGCUCUUGUAUCUGUUGUAUAUAUCCUG